rnacentral:rRNA from 1 species
AGAGCGAACGCUGGCGGCGUGCUUAACACAUGCAAGUCGAGUGCGCGCCUGUAGCAAUACAGGUGGCGCACGGCGCACGGGUGCGUAACACGUGGGUAAUCUGCCCUUCGAUGGGGAAUAACUCCGGGAAACCGAAGCUAAUUCCGCAUAACAUUCCUUGGACCUCGGUCUGGGGAUUCAAAGCCGUAAGGCGUCGGAGGAGGAACCCGCGCACGAUUAGUUAGUUGGCAGGGUAACGGCCGUACCAAGACUUUGAUCGUUAGCUGGU